GAUUGGUUGCUUCUCAUACAUGCCCUGACAGGGGAUUGAACCCGCAACCUUUUGGUGUAUGGUAUGAUGCUCCAACUGGGCCACCUAGUCAGGGCGGUUCAGUUGCUUCUGGUGUCUUAUUUGACCUUUUUACUAGAAAGAUAAAUUGCACUUAGAAGUCUUAAUGUUAUCAGUGGCAUAUUUAUAAAGCACUAUGUUAAAUGCCUUAAAUAAAUUCUCUAAACUGUAUAUCAGCUCUCCAAAAUAGGUGCAUUAUUGUCUUUAUUUUCUAGGCGAAGACACACAUGCUUAGAGAGGUUAAAUGUAACUCCUGCAGAAGUCUCACAGGUAGUAAGUGCAAGAAUUGGAAGGCUAAAAUCAAAUUUGGAGUCUCAAUUAGUGAUGCAAAUAAAUUGUCUCUGGAUUGAUCUGUUUCAGUUAAAUUCUGGAAUUACUGGUUCUAGUCCAUAGAUUAAAGGGCUGGAAUUAUUGGUUCUGAUUUAUAGAUGGAAGGGCUUGUGUGGGUGUGUUUGAUUCAGCUCGAGCCCUUGGGCUGUGUUGCUGUCACUGACUCAGUCUGUCAUAGUUGUUGUACGCAUUUCAGACAAACGUGUCCUGAGGUGGGCGUUAGCUACUUAAACCUGAAACUAAAGAAAAGCAAAAGAGGGUGGGGAAAAGGGAAAAUAAGAAGUCUGUUUUUCAGAUGGUUUAAACUACACUGAUGAUCAUUUUAUGGAUGGGCCUAGCAGGGCUGUCCAACCUUUUGGCGUCUCUGGGCCACACAUUAAAUACACAAACACCAAUGAAAACUGAUGAGCAAAAAAAGGGUUUUAUGUAAGUUGCGAUUUUGUGUUCGGCUGCAUUCGUAGCCAUCCUGGGCUGCAUGCAUCCCGUGGGCCGUUGGUUGGACACCCCUGGACAGUGUAAAAUUCUAAGGAUGAGGUGAAGAAGGAGAAUUACAUGAUGGUGAGCUGAGGCCCAAGGGGAAUGGCUACAGUAGGAAGACAGUAGAGAAGGCUGCCCUCGCUACAUUUAUUUUGAAUUUUACUAACCAUGGGCUAAUGGAGUGUAAUCUGUCAUACAUACCGAUUUGUUCUUUUUUCAGAAAGAACAUUAAUGAAUAGUCAUAAAUCAUUUUUUAAAUGCAACAGUAGUUCUCUGUCAGUGUGAAUAAAAAGCCCUUUGGAUAUUGUUCAUGACCUCAUUUGAUGAUCAUUUUUGCAUUAAUAUAAGUACAUUUAUGGGAUUCUCUGGUACCGUUACUUAACUUGGAGCACCGUGCUUCUGGCCUAUUUACCUAGAUUUACUCUGCUCUAGGAAUUUUAUUCAGGAUACUAGCAGUGUGGAAAUUCUGCUCCUGGCAUCAGGGUGCCCUGUGAGAGUAUAGUUUUCUUAGGGUGGUAACAUCCUAUUUAGAGGCAGAGAUUAGCACUGUUUUACUAAUUGUGCUAAGAUGCUCUUUGCCUUUUUCACUUUAUUGGUAUCUUUACUGAUGCUACAGAAUCGCUGGUGGGUCACGCUGCUGGCACCUUAGCAUGAAUCAAAUACCAAAUUCACCAGUGUGCAUUCUUAA